rnacentral:misc_RNA from 1 species
CCAAUAGCGUAUAUUAAAGUUGUUGCAGUUAAAAAGCUCGUAGUUGAAUUUCGAGAUCAAUUUGUUGGUCGUGCCUCGGUACGUACUGGCAAUUUUGAUUUCUCCCUUCUGAAGAACCAUGAUGUCAUUAAUUUGGUGUCAUGGGGAAUCAGGACCGUUACUUUGAAAAAAUUAGAGUGUUUAAAGCAGGCUCGCGCUUGAAUACAUUAGCAUGGAAUAAUGAAAUAGGACGUUUGAUUCUAUUUUGUUGGUUUCUAGGAUCGACGUAAUGAUUAAUAGGGAUAGUUGGGGGCAUUAGUAUUCAAUUGUCAGAGGUGAAAUUCUUGGAUUUAUUGAAGAAUAACUACUGCGAAAGCAUUUGCCAAGGAUGUUUUCAUUAAUCAAGAACGAAAGUUAGGGGAUCGAAGACGAUCAGAUACCGUCGUAGUCUUAACCAUAAACUAUGCCGACUAGGGAUCGGAUGAUGUUAAUGGUUUAAUGACUCAUUCGGCGCCUUACG